rnacentral:rRNA from 1 species
UACGUAGGGAGCGUGCGUUAUCCGGAAUUAUUGGGUGUAAAGGGUGCGUAGACGGGAAAGCAAGUUAGUUGUGAAAUCCCUCGGCUUAACUGAGGAACUGCAACUAAAACUACUUUUCUUGAGUGCAGGAGAGGUAAGUGGAAUUCCUAGUGUAGCGGUGAAAUGCGUAGAUAUUAGGAGGAACACCAGUGGCGAAGGCGACUUACUGGACUGUAACUGACGUUGAGGCACGAAAGUGUGGGAAGCAAACAGG